UCCUGGUUAACCCAGGCAGUCUCAUUAGAGUUCCCACCUUAAAUGUUGGCAACUAAUGAUAAGGGUUGCGCUCGUUGCGGGACUUAACCCAACACCUCACGGCACGAGCUGACGACAGCCAUGCAGCACCUGUGCACAGGCCCCGAAGGGAGACGCCAUCUCUGGCGCUGUCCUGUGCAUGUCAAGCCUGGGUAAGGUUCUUCGCGUUGCAUCGAAUUAAACCACAUGCUCCACUGCUUGUGCGGGUCCCCGUCAAUUCUUUUGAGUUUCAGCCUUGCGACUGUACUCCCCAGGCGGUAUACUUAUCGCGUUAGCUCCGGCACAAUCGGGGUUGAGUCCGAUUACACCAAGUAUACAUCGUUUACGGCAAGGACUAC
rnacentral:misc_RNA from 1 species